rnacentral:misc_RNA from 1 species
ACUCCUUUACAUUUCUUUACCAUCUCUUUUCCAAUUUUUAUUAUGUUGGGAUUCACUGCACCAUGCCCCUCUCCAAACGCUAGUUUUUCGAAUAAAUCCCAAGCCUCAUUCUCUGUUAGACCUUGCAAAAUAUAUGAGAAAUCCACACCCAUGACUAAUGUAACUCUUGUGCUACGAGUGGUGACCAAAAUUUUACUUCCUGGGGCAGCCACUAACAAGUAAUCUUUCAAACCAUCCCAUUUUUCCUUAUCUUCAUUCCAUACAUCAUCUAAGACCAGCAAAUACCUCUUCUCUCCUAACUUCUCUUUAAGACGAUUAUGCAGUUGUUCUAGUUCUAAGUUAGGAACUUCCUCAUCAGUUGCGCAUUCAAGGAUCUUCUUAACUAGCAAUU